rnacentral:rRNA from 1 species
UCAAUGACCUCAAAUCAGAUGAGAAUACCCACUGAACUUAAGCAUAUCAAUAAGUGGAGGAAAAGAAACUAACAAGGAUUCCCUCAGUAAUGGCAAGUGAAGAGGGAAGAGCUCAGUUUUGAAAUCUGGCAGUCAUUCCACUGUCCAAGUUGUAAAUUGAAGAGAAUGUCAUCCACACUGGACCAUGUCUAAAUUGUAAUAAUCCACAGUCCUUUGAUGGAGUAUCAGAGAGGGUAAUAAUCCUGUCUUUAAUGUAGACCACCAGUGUUUAUAUGUGAUGCACUCUCUCAGAGUCAAGUAGUUUGGGAAUGCUGCUCUAAUGGGAGGUAAACUCCUUCUAAAGCUAAAUAUUGGUGAGAGACCGAUAGCAAACAAGUACCAUGAGGGAAAGAUGAAAAGAACUCUGAAAAGAGAGUCAAACAGAAUGGGAAAUUGCUGAAAGGGAAGCGUUUGGAGUCAGAUGCAUCCUCAAUGUAAUACGGCUCAGUUGGCAGAGACUGAGAGCAGUGACUUGAAGAUGGGCCAGCACUCAUGUAGAUCAUUGGAGAAGGGGUCAUGGAAUGUAGCUCAAUUCUUGAGUGUUUAUAGACUUGAUUCAUAUACAAUGUGUCUUAUGUGUGUUAAUUGACAGCACAAGUCUUGACUCAGUGCUUGACUGGCAUAAUGGCUCUAAGCAACCCGUCUUGAAACACAGACCAAGGAGUCUAACAUGUAUGUGAGUAUUAGAGUGAUUGAAACUCUGAAUGCGUAAUGAAAGUGGUUCUUGACUGAGAAUCCUCAAUUAUGGGAGGUAUCAGUACCCUGAGUCUGUUAGUCUUUGACUAAAGAUUUGGAGGUAGAGCAUAUAUGUUGGGACCCAAAAGAUGGUGAACUAUGCCUGAAUAGGGUGAAGUCAGAGGAAACUCUGAUGGAGGCUCAUAGCGAUUCUGACAUGCAAAUUGAUCGUAGAAUUUGGGUAUAGGGGCAAAAGACUAAUUGAACCAUCUAGUAGCUGGUUCCUGCCGAAGUUUCCCUCAGGAUAGCAGAGACUGGAAAAACUCAGUUGCAUGGGGUAAAGCGAAUGAUUAGGGAUCUUGGGGGUGGAAUACCCUCAAUCCAUUCUCAAACUGUGAAUCUGCAUGGGCACAGGAUCCCUUACUUAAUUGAAGGACCUGUUGAAUGUCAGUCUCUAGUGGGCCACGUUUUGGUAAGCAGAACUGGCAAUGCGGGAUGAACCAAACAUGAGGUUAAAGUGCCUGAAUACACACUCAUCAGAGACCAUGAAAGGUGUGAGUCCGUCCAGACAGCAGGACGGUGGCCAUGGAAGUUGGAAUCUGCGAAGGGGUGUGUAACAACUCACCUGCCAAAUGGACUUGCCCUGAAAAUGGAUGGUGCUCAAGUGUGUUACUCAUACCUCACCAUCAAUCAUUGGACUGAUUGACAAGUAGGCAGGCGUGAGGGUCAAUCAUCGAAGCUCAGGAAGUGAUUCCGAGUGGAGAGGCCUUCAGUGCAGAUCUUGGUGGUAGUAGCAAAUAUUCAAGUGAGAACCUUGAAGACUGAAGUGGAGAAAGGUUCCAUGUGAACUGUGAUUGACCAUGGGUUAGUUGAUCCUAAGAGAUAGGUUAAAUCCUGAAUCAAAGAUGAGCUUGAUUAUUCAAGUUACCUAUCAAAAGGGAAUUUGGUUAAGAUUCCAAUACCAGGUUUAAGAGAUCCUCGAGAUAUGAGGGGUCUAUGGAAGCAGUGAUGCCACUGAAGUUGGAGACAAUGGCAAAUGCCCUAGGGAGAGAUCUCUUCUCUUCAUGACAGUCCAAGGACCUGGGUUAAUGAGAUUGACUCGAGAACAGGUUUGGUGAUUGGAACAUGCUUGGUGUCUCCAUCGAGUCUGGAGUGCAUUUGACAUCCCUUGAAAAUCCAAUGGAAUGCUAAGACCCCUCCCUGAUUGUACUCAUAACUGCAUCAGGUUUCCAAGGUUAACAGCCUCCAGUUGAUAGAACAAUGUAGAUAAGGGAAGUCAGCAAAUUAGAUCCAUAACUUCGGGAUAAGGAUUGGCUCUAAGGAUCGGUGGGUUGGGUCCUGAGUCUCAUGUCCCAAGUUGCUUGUAAGUCCACUGAGGUGGGUUUAAGGGUAGAGCCACCGAUUGGCCUACUGCUUGGGGCUGAGCCAGAGGGGCUGGUCUUUCAAGGGCCACCAAUUCAUGUAUCAUCAAUCAACUUAGAACUGGUAUGGACCAGGGGAAUCUGACUGUCUAAUUAAAACAUAGCAUUGCAAUGACCUGAAAUAGGUGUUGACACAAUGUGAUUUCUGCCCAGUGCUCUGAAUGUCAAAGUGAAGAAAUUCAACCAAGUGUGGAUAAACGGUGGGAGUAACUAUGACUCUCUUAAGGUAGCCAAAUGCCUUGUCAUCUAAUUAGUGACGCACAUGAAUGGGAUUCCCACUGUCCCUAUCUACUAUCUAGCGAAACCACAGCCAAGGGAACAGGCUUGGCAGAAUCAGCAGGGAAAGAAGACCCUGUUGAGCUUGACUCUAGUUUGGCAUUGUGAAGAGAUGUAGAGGGUGUAGAAUAGGUGGGAGCCUUCGGGUGCUGGUGAAAUACCACUACCUCUAUUGUCUCUUUACUUAUUCAAUGAGGUGAACAAAAAGUACAGGGGGAAGUGCCUCGAUUCACCUUCAAGCACUCAAGGUCUUUAGCAGGCCGAUUCAGGUCGAAGACAUUGCCAGAUGGAGAGUUUGGCUGGGGUGGCACAUCUGUUAAAUGAUAAUGCAGGUGUCCUAAGGGGGGCUCAUUUAGAACAGAAAUCUCAAGUAGAGCAAAAGGGCAAAAGUCCCCUUGAUUUUGAUUUUCAGUGUGAAUACAAACCAUGAAAGUGUGGCCUAUUGAUCCUUUAGUCCCUCAGAGUUUGAGGCUAGAGGUGCCAGAAAAGUUACCACAGGGAUAACUGGCUUGUGGCAGCCAAGCGUUCAUAGCAACAUUGCUUUUUGAUCCUUCAAUGUUGGCUCUUCCUAUCAUACCGAAGCAGAAUUUGGUAAGUGUUGGAUUGUUCACCCACUAAUAGGGAACGUGAGCUGGGUUUAGACCGUCAUGAGACAGGUUAGUUUUACCCUACUGAUGAACUAUUGUCGCAAUAGUAAUCGAACUCAGUACGAGAGGAACCAUUCAAUCAGAUAGUUGGUAAUGUGGCCGCUUGACAAGGCGAUGCUGUGAAGCUAUCAUCUGCCCAGAUUAUGACUGAAAGCCUCUUAAGUCAGAAUCCAUUCUAGAUAGGCAACAAUAAAUAUUGCCCCUGCAUUAUGUGAGUGUCACAAACUGUGCACAGCCACCGGUCACGUGACAUCCCACAGCCGUGCACGGACCUUUUCCAUGUGC